rnacentral:rRNA from 1 species
CACGUAGGGGGCAAGCGUUGUCCGGAUUUAUUGGGCGUAAAGAGCUCGUAGGCGGUUUCGUAAGUCGGAUGUGAAAACUCCAGGCUCAACUUGGAGACGCCAUUCGAUACUGCGAUGACUUGAGUCCGGUAGGGGAGUGUGGAAUUCCUGGUGUAGCGGUGAAAUGCGUAGAUAUCUGGAGAACACCGGUGGCGAAGGCGGCAUCCUGGACCGGUAUUGACGCUGAUGCGCGAAAGCCAGGGG